AUGGCCAUGACGGUAAUCCUCCCUGAAACAAAAAUAAAAGGCAGAACCGGUUGGACAGAAAGUGUGGCCAAAAACUCUGCCAGCAAGGCCGGUAGGCCAGGGACUUCCCGGCUGCGGGGAGUGCCUGUAACAGUGUCCAGGGGGCAGGGCAAGCAGCAAGUGAGUGGCCAGGGCCUGGGACAGCACCAAUGCGAGGUGCACCGGCUUUUGGGCUUCAGGGCAGUGCUCUGUGGGUCAGGGGGGCGGCGGGGAGUCUCCUCCUGCAGCCGUAAGUCCUGUGUGGCCUUCCUCGGCCUUGGAGGACCCAGAGUGCGCGCCCAUGAUCUGCUGUGGAGAGCUGAGCUGGCUUGUGAUCCACCAGGGAGGGCGAGAAGGCGACCGGGGGAUCUUGAUCUGCCCUGUGAAAUCGGAGGUCUCAGACGGACGUGCCGGGUGCUUCUAACCAGGGAAGAAGGGCCAGAAGGAAGCAAGGUCCAGGCCUGGGAAGACAGACGGAGCGAGAGCUGCUCUUUCCCGCCACGCUUCGUGACCCCAGCCCACGCCCCGGACCCCCACGGAGGACUCGGCUGA
rnacentral:lncRNA from 1 species